CGUGAAUUAAGUUUAUGGUGACCGAACAUGGAAACGGCAAACACAUGAACAGCUUAACGUGUUUUUAUAGGACGCGUACCAGACGGAAACACAGGGGACUUCUCGACAGCGCUAAGCAAAAUAAUGUCACAGUUAUGAGUUAUUGGAGAAAGUGUGUUUGUUUAUUGCUCUUGUUGCACUGGACUAGAAACUGAACACACCUUACUUUCAUUUUCAUUUACCUUCAUUUGUCAAGACUUUCCUCGCUGAAAGAACAAUCAACAAAAUGUUUAGCUGGUUGAGUCUCCUGGUGCUGCUGAGCCUCAUGACUUGUGCAAGUGAGUAUUUCAGAAUCAUGAAAUCACAUAAUUUUUUAUAUGUGUGUGUGUGAGAGAGUGUGAGUGUGUGUGUGUGGG